AUUGACCGCUGGCGGCAGGCCUAACACAUGCAAGUCGAACGAGUGGCGGACGGGUGAGUAAUGUCUGGGAAAUUGCCUGCUGGAGGGGGCUAACUACUGGAAACGGUAGCUAAUACCGCAUACCAUCGGAUGUGCCCAGAUGGGAUUAGCUAGUAGGUGGGGUAACGGCUCACCUAGGCGACGAUCCCUAUCUGGUCUGAGAGGAUGACCAGCCACACUGGAAUGGAGACACGGUCCAGACUCCUACGGGAGGCAGCAGUGGGGAAUAUUGCAGAAUGGGCGCAAGCCUGAUGCAGCCAUGCAGCGUGUAUGAAGAAGGCCUUCGGGUUGUAAAGUACGUUCAGCGGGGAGGCGUUACCCGCAGAAGAAGCACGGGCUAACUCCGUGCCAGCAGCCGCGGUAAUUC
rnacentral:rRNA from 1 species